GACGAACGCUGGCGGCGUGCUUAACACAUGCAAGUCGAACGAAGAGCGAUGGAAGCUUGCUUCUAUCAAUCUUAGUGGCGAACGGGUGAGUAACGCGUAAUCAACCUGCCCUUCAGAGGGGGACAACAGUUGGAAACGACUGCUAAUACCGCAUACGAUCUAAUCUCGGCAUCGAGGAUAGAUGAAAGGUGGCCUCUACAUGUAAGCUCUCACUGAAGGAGGGGAUUGCGUCUGAUUAGCUAGUUGGAGGGGUAACGGCCCACCAAGGCGAUGAUCAGUAGCCGGUCGGAGAGGAUGAACGGCCACAUUGGGACUGAGACACGGCCCAGACUCCUACGGGAGGCAGCAGUGGGGAAUCUUCCGCAAUGGACGAAAGUCUGACGGAGCAACGCCGCGUGAGUGAUGACGGCCUUCGGGUUGUAAAGCUCUGUUAAUCGGGACGAAAGGCCUUCUUGCGAAUAGUGAGAAGGAUUGACGGUACCGGAAGAGAAAGCCACGGCUAACUACGUG
rnacentral:rRNA from 1 species